rnacentral:lncRNA from 1 species
UUAUCUUCCAUUGCUGGAGUCAUUGCAAAACAUUUUCUCAAGUCUAAGUUAUCUUUGCCUCUUUCAUUCUUUGUUAUUCUACACCAAAAAUAUAGAAAAAUAUGGCUCUCUUGUUUAAGGAAAAACCAGAAUUGAUCGAUGGAAGUAAUGCUAUGGAAGAAACCGAAGUACCCGAAAUCGAUACCGGUCUUCUAAUGUCAUUAUUAGAGGAAUCACAGUGUGAUGAGUACUGCAAUGAAGAGCAGAUAAAUAGUUUGAUGGAAUCUCUAGAAGCUGAGAUUAGAAUGGCGAGUGAUUGUUCAUGCAGUACUGAAGGAGGGAUUGGAAGCAACGAUUGCUUUGAAUGGAGUGAAAUGGAAAUGGUGCCUUCCUCUCCAAGCGAUGACAUGAAUUGGUAUGUGGAGGAUCAUGUCCAAGAGAUGUCUAUGGAUGGCUACUUGGUGCAAUUUGGAAAUUAUUUUCCUUUUAAUUGUUACGAAAAUCAGUUAGAAAAUGGCUUUACUUCUCUGUGGCAAGAGACAUAUGAUACAGCUAUAUACAAUUAGAUUGUAUGUUGUGCAUAUAAUAUUUAUUCUAAUUCAAGAAGAAGUAUACAUUAAGUUCUUCAAGUGUAUAAAGCCUUCUGGCGACGAUGAAAAUUUAUUUUUGAGUUUAUAUUCUUCCAAUUUUACUCUGAUAAAAUCGGCUUUUUUUAUACUAACAACUUAAAAAUUAAUUAAUUAAUUAACAAAAUGAACUGGACCAAAAAUUAUUUAAAAAUGUCCCAUUUUGAAUAGUGUACCUCGCUGGUUGGUCAGGCGGUAUCAUCCAGUUUUUUGGCGGAGUGACAACCCAAUCAUCAGCUUUAAAAAAAAAAGAAUUUUCUUUUGGGUGUCACCACUAUGUCAAGCGGUAUCCAUAUGUAUUUUUCAAAAUACCCGUAAAAAUACAGGUUCACAGUGGAGAAAAAAAAAGAAAUUUUUUUUAUUGGGCGGUACCGGUGAAUUUAAAAAAAAUCGUAUUUUCGAAUGUACACAAUAUUCGUAUGUUUUGGGUGUCGUCAGUGUGCCAAACGGCACCGGUGGGAAUUAAAAAAAAAGUGAAACAGACAAAAAAAAAAGAAGUUGAAAAGAAACAAUUUAAAUAGAAAAAAAUAAAGGGGGGAGCCCGUGACCGAUGUUUGCUUCAUAGGUGGUUCUUAUCUUCUUGGCAUGUCAAUGCUAGUGGAUGAAAUAUUAUUUCAAAAAAAAUCCAUUCUAACUAAUAAAUACACAAUGAUAAUUUAUUAAAGUUAGAUCGCAUGCCCACAUAGCACAAAUAAUCAUCCAGUUGUCACAAAUAUUAGAGUUCAAUUGAUUGACUAAUUAUGUAAGUGACAAAGUCUAAGCUAUCAAAUACUGAAGACAUAUUUAACAAACCUAAACAAUGCAAAUACCAAAGAGUAAAGAAAGAUUAAGAGUAAUUCGAUUUUACAAACUUAUAGAAUCAAACUUGGAAUAUUUAACUAGGAAAGAACAUAUUAGCAAUCCAUUAGAAAAUAAAAUGCAAAUUGAAUUAAAAUUGAAAGCAAAGAUAAUUCGACGAGGGUAGUUGAAGCAAUAUGUCGCUUAUACAUUCCGCCAAACGGGGAUUGAUGAUGUUAGCUCUUCACGUAAGACUACACAGGAUAAGGCGUAGGUGUUGAACUUUGGCCUGCAAUGCAACAGCAGAGAAGUCUUUGAAGCUCAACCAAUGUAGCUGUUCUAUUUUGUUCAAUUUGUAACUAGCUUAGUUCAUUUUGUAAUUAGUCUAUUUUGAAACAUCAAGACUAGUUUGCUGAUGGGUGUGAUGUUUAGGUGAUGAUAUAGGCUGAUAAGUCAGCUUCACUAAGUGUGCAAGAUAAGUUAUGUAAUUUUCAAUGUAAUUAGUGGGAGUAGUUAUACAUUAGGUAACUGCUUGUAACUCAUAUAUUUGGCUUAAUGAAAUCAGUUAUGAUGAUGAGUUUUUUAUCAUCUUUUGCAUCCAUUUUCUUUGUUUCAAUUUCUCUCUUUCUUUGGCUGAUAACCCCAACAGUCGGACAAGAAGCUGGACAGGGGUUUAUUAUAUAAUUAUUGGAAACUGUUAGAGUAAAUGUUAGAGUAAUGUUUCAGUUAAUAGUUGGUUAGGAAGUUCAGGUCAGUUGAUAACAGUUGUAGUCUGUUGAGGUAGUUACAUAUGUUGGUAUUGAGUUGUGUAUAAAUACUGCUAUUAAUAAAUAUUAAUAACAAACAAGAAUGAUGAGUAUUUCAUGUAAAAAUUAAUAUGGUAUCAGUUGUUCAGUUUUUCCUGGGUUAGGGUUUUUGAGUUUCUUUGUUUUUCUUUUUCAUGGUUUUAGUUCGUCUAAUGUGUAUUCCGCUGCACCAAUAAUGACUUCAAACUUUUCUAAUAAUGUUGUAGACAGUCGAUUCUUCUCUAAUAAGAGAAUCAGUGUGUUGCUUGAUGAUAAUAAUUAUCUAUUAUGGAGACAACAGGUGCUUUUGGCAAUCAAAACAUACAAGCUUCAAAGUUUUCUUGAUCCACACACUGUUCCUCUUUUUCAAAAAGUUGCGGAUGAUAAUGGUGUUUUACAGGAUAAUCUUGAGUUGGCUCAUUUUGAACAACAAGAUAGUGCGCUAGCCUCAUAGCUUUUUUCCUCUGUAAGUGCCACUGUUCUCCCUCAUCUUAUAGGGUUGGAUACUAGUGUACAAAUAUGGUCUGCUAUUACUACUUUGUAUUGUAGCAAAACCACUUCUAGGUUAAUGUUUUAUAGAUGGGCGCUGCAUUCUCAGAAAAAAGGUGAUUUGUCUAUGAAAGAUUUCUUAUUGAAGGUGAAGGGGUAUUGUGAUUGCUUGGCCAACUGUGGAGAGAUUAUCAGUGAGCAUGAGCAUGUUACUGUCAUACUCAAUGGGCUAUCGUCAGAAUAUGAGUCUGUAAUUACGAUUGUUACUUCCAGCCAAGUUCCUUACGAUGUACAGGGGGUCACUUCUAUACUUCUUGAUGCAGAGGCACGACAGCAAGUGAUGGUUCUUGAGACUCCUAGUUCUACUAACCUAGCAUCUCAUAAGUCUUCAUCUGUGGAAGUGGAUAGUGGUUCGGUACCUGAGUAUCGUCAUCCCUCGUCAACUCGAGGAAGGGGACGAGGUCGCUCGUAUAGGUCCCGUGUUCAAUGUCAGCUUUGUGGAAAACCUGGUCAUCUAGUUGAUAGGUGUUAUUAUAGGUUUGAUUCGUCAUAUAAAAAUACAGGGUACAGACCAUUUAUGCCUCCACAAGCAAAUCUCAGUUUGGUUGGGUCAAGUCCUGCGAUGGUACCUUGGAUGUCACCCAUGGCUGGUGUCCCCUCUACUGGUUUCAGUCCUUCAUCAGGUUGGUCUGGUUUCUCUUUGCCUGUUAACAACUAGUCUAAUCCGUUUGCUCAAAAUGCAUCACAGUCUGGCAAUCCUUCUUCAACUACUCCCCCACCUCAGGCAUACGUUGCAACUCCUGCAACAGUGAUAGAUAAUACAUGGUAUCCUGAUUCAUGUGCUACUUAUCACCUGACAAACGCUGCUACUAUUUUAGGUGACAAUGUGAAUUUCAAUGGCCCAGGUAAAGUUUAUGUUGGAAAUGGUUCUACUCUUCCAGUUAUGUUUACAGGUCAAUCAUUAUUACUAACUCGGUCGAGACCUUUGUUCAUACGAUUAUUAUUGUUUGUCCCUGACAUAACGAAAAAUUUGCUGUCUGUAUCCAUGUUUACUAGAGAUAAUCAAGUGAUAUUUGAGUUUUAUCCUACACAGUGCCUAGUUCAUGACUUGAAGACAAAAAAAAGUUCUUGUUCACGGCUCCGUACAUGAUGGACUGUACAAGUUAAGCUUGAAUAACUACUCGUUCCCAGUGAUGUCUUCAAAUACAGAUCAUUGUUUACAUACUACGACCACAGCAUCAUUAAACAUUUGGCAUGCUAGGUUAGGUCAUCCAUGUAAUAGCAUACUUAAGAAGGCUUUGAAACAGUGUAGUAUAUUGGUUGAUGUGAAUAAAGAAGUUCAUUGUUGCACUGCUUGUCAUUUAGGGAAAGAGCAUAAGCAACCAUUUGCUCUGAAUUUAUCUGAGUAUGCUAUGCCACUACAACUGGUAAUUACUGAUGUUUGGGGACCAGCUCCAGUUUAUUCCAAUGGCUUUCGGUAUUAUGUUGCUUUUACUAAUGCUUAUUCUCGAUAUACCUGGGUUUAUUUUCUACAGAGAAAAUCUGAAAUUUCGAGUGUUUUUCCUCUUUUUCAAAGACAGGUUGAAAGAAUGCUUGGUUGAAAAAUUAAAGCCUUGCAAACGGAUGGAGGAGGAGAGUUUCAAGCUUUGAAGAGCUAUCUGUCCCAACAAGGAAUUGUUCACUGUUUCACAUGUCCAUACACCUCAGAACAAAAUGGACUGGUUGAGCGGAAGCAUCGUCAAAUUGUUGAAACUGGGCUGUCUAUGCUAGCAUAUGCAUCUAUGUCGGUUAGCUACUGGAAUGAUGCUUUCAGCAGUGCUAUUCAUCUGAUAUGUCUCGCCAUGUGACAUUUCAUGAGACUAAGUUUCCCUUCAAAGAUAUCGGUUGCAAGACAGUACAUUCAGCAUCAAAUCUGCAGCUUAGUUCUAAACUGCUUGUUGUGCCCUCCAACAGUCCUACACGUACUGUCUCAGUAAGGUCACCUGAUCCAGUGCCUGCAGUCAGUUCUGAUCGAUCAUUCAAUGAAAGUUCUAAGCCUCAUGUUGCUAGUCCAGGGUCCGCUCCAAGUGUCAGUAAUAGUGUUCGAGGGUCUGGGUUCAAUGCACCAAGUAUGGUACCUCCUCCAACCUCUGCCCCUGUUAAUUCACAUUCGAUGGUUACGCAAAGCAAGGUGGGUGUUUUUAAACCCAAGGAGUACUUUAGUUCAGUCAGCUCUAAGUAAGAUGAGGUUCCUGGUUUUAUUCAUGAAGCAAUGCAAAAUCAGUGUUGGAGAAAGGCUGUCCAUAAGGAGUUACAGGCACUUAUUCAAAACAAGACGUGGAUGUUUUGUUCCCUACCUACUCAUCAGAAAGUCGUUGGCUGUAAAUGGCUAUUUCGAGUGAAAAAGAAGGCUGAUGGGACAGUAGACAGGUACAAGGCACGAUUGGUGACUAAAGGGUUUUCGCAGCAUGCUGGUAUUGAUUUUCGUGAUACUUUUAGUCCGGUUGUUAAAGCAACAACCAUACGAAUUGUACUCACCAUUGCUGUUAUGAAAGGCUGGUUGUUGAGACAGGUUGAUGUGAAUAACGCGUUUCUUAAUGGAGUGUUAACAGAAGAAAUAUACAUGCAACAGCCACCUGGUUUCAAAGUAGCUGAGACAAUGGUUAGCAAUUAGUCUGUCAUUUAAACAAAGCGUUGUAUGGACUAAGGCAAGCCCCUCGUGCAUGGUUUCAAAUGCUGAGGCAGUAUCUAGUGGAUGACUUGGGGUUUCGAGCUUCGAAAGCUGAUCUGUCAUUGUUUAUUCGAACCACCUCUAGCCAGCUGCUGUUACUUAUGGUUUAUGUAGAUGAUAUUGUUGUCACAGACAGCUCGAAUGUUGAUAUAGAUGAAGUGAUUCGACAGCUUCAUUAAAAGUUUUCCAUUAAAGACAUGGGUCGGCUCAAUUUCUUCUUAGGUAUUGAAGUUCAACAUGUCCCUAAGAGAGUUUUGCUUAGUCAAAAGAAGUAUAUCUUGGAGAUACUUCAUAAGACAGGAAUGACAGGAGCAUUAUUUAUGCCUACCCCCAUGGUCAGCAAUCCAAAAUUGGUUGCGUCAGAUGGCAGUCUGCCAUUUGCUGAUGGACAUUUGUAUCGCAGUGUGGUUGGCAUGCUUCAAUGCUUAUAUAUUACAUGUCCAGAUUUAACUUUCUGUGUUAAUAAGCUAAGUCAGUUUAUGAAUUCUCCUAGUGACACACAUUGGAAGGUUGUUAAAAGAGUGUUGAGGUAUCUUGUAGGGACGCUUGAUCAUGGGUUGUUACUCACGGAUGGGAUAUUUGAGCUGAGAUGUUACUCUGAUGCUGACUGGGCUGCUUCUGUUGAAGAUUCGCCGCUCAACCACAGGAUAUGUUGUAUAUCUAGGGACUAAUCCAAUUGCUUGGUGUUCUAAGAAGCAAGAGGAGUACCGUAGUUUAGCCAAUUGUUUGUCAGAAUUGCUGUGGAUUAAACAAUUGCUGGAUGAAAUUGGUUUGUCACCAUGUUAGACACCAGUGGUCUGGUGUGACAAUACUUGUACAGUCACCAUGGCAGCCAGCCUAACACAUCAUGCCAGAAUGAAGCAUGUGGAGAUUGAUCACCAUUUUGUACGAGAGAAUGUACUUGAUGGCGUCCUGCAGGUCAACUUUGUGCCAUUGUCAAAACAAGUUGCUGACGUUCUAACAAAACCACUUCCACCAACACAGUUUACUGUAUUUCGAAGAGAUUUACGUGUUUGCUCUAGUACUGUUGAUGAAGAUGUUUGUUCAGUCUAAGUUUUUUGUUAUUAUUAUUAUUUCUUCAUAUAAAACCAGAGGAAUGUUAGAGUAAAUGUUAGAGUAGUGUUUCAGUUAAUAGUUGGUUAGGAAGUUCAGGUCAGUUGAUAACAGUUGUAGUCUGUUGAGGUAGUUGCAUACGUUGGUAUUGAGUUAUGUAUAAAUACUGCUAUUAAUAACUAAUAAUAACAAACAAGAAUGAUGAGUAUUUCAUGUAAAACUUUAUAGAAACAAUGAGGAAUGUGUGCUUUCGAAGUCUAAGAGAAAACCUUUUUGAAAAGCGUCAUGUUUGUUAAUAACUCUAUGAAAAAACACCCUCACACAGAAGCAUGGUAUGUAGAUUUUGAUGGUAGAAACAAUGAAAUGGUUUUGGAUGUCACUGGAAAUGAUCCCUUCGUGGCUACAAUACCAUUUAUGGCUAUCAAGUCAAAAGAAUCUUAGUAGAUUGUGGCAAUGUAGUUGAAAUCUUGCAAUGGGAUGCCUUUAGGCAAAUGAAACUUAAUGAAACACUUUUAAAUAACGAAAUGCCCAUUUUUGGUUUGCUAAUCAGGAAGUCAAGGGAUCGAUCACUCUUCCAUUUAUAAUUGGGGAUGGUGAGCAUAUUGUUAUGGAGAUGGUAGAUUUCUUAGCGGUUGAUCAUCCUUCAGCAUACAUUGCUAGAUUUGGCUGCCCAAUUAUGUGUAUGAUGAGGAUGAUUGUGGCUACUUUUUGUAUGAAGAUAAAAUUUCCUUCCCCAACAUAACUUGCUAAUUGCCCAAAAGGCGGUGAUAUUCUCUUAUAGCAUUUUCAAAUAAUAGGUGGAAUGGUAGAUGGAACCCCACCUCGAACGAAUGUAGCAGCAAGAAUAUCCCCUCCCCAUUUAGAGCAUUUUCAAAAAACAGGUGGAGUGGUAGAUGGAACACCGCACAUUUGCAGUGACAAUAAGAUCAUGCUCAAAAUUUACAAGGCCAAGAAAACCUUCCAUAGUAGAGAAAGACCAAAGAUCCUAGGAUUCAACUUCUCAAAAUAUAUCAUCUUCAUUCCGCACAAACAUCGUCUAAACCUCCAUUAACCUCCAACCACUAACAUUGUAUCAACAAAUUUCAUUAAAAAGUUCCUCUAAACUGAAAGACUGUAAUUUGAACUUAUUUAAUUAAAAGUUAAUCAAAGUUAUUUGUAAUCAGAAUUGGCAAUUCCAAUGAUAUUAGUUGUUGUUUUUUUUUUGUUUUUUUGUUUUUGCUAAGCUAAGUUUUUUCAUUAAUAAGUAAAGCUCAAUACAAAAAAGAGUAACAUCAAAAACAGGUUGUAGACAAGCAACAUGAAUCGCUAAGGUUGAAUCCCACGAAACCAAAGAUGUUUGUCUUUUAUAGUUUUAUCCUCAUUGAACUUUGUCCAGUUUUUGUUGCCGGGUCAAUUUUUUUUUAAUUUUAAAUUUCGUUUAUACAUCUAACAUCAUGAUUAAAAUUAUUCAUGGAUUAAGAUAAAUUUAAUCAUAUAAUUUCACAUAUCAUUGUUGCUAACUGUACCCAAUAUUAAUGAAUAAAGAAAAAAUAAUUUAAUAUUUAUAUCAAAUUUCGAUUAAAUAUGAAAUCAAAUUGAACUGGAAGUGAAAAAAUUAUCUGCAAAAGAGAUGAAAUCAAACCAAAGAAAUCCAGAAAUAAAGCUUGCUUACACAUUAUUUACUCGGCCCGGCAUGUUAAUCUUCAUCUUAUAUGAUAUAUAUAUAAAAAAAAAGGUAACAAUAUACGAAUCUUAGCAAAACAGCAAUUAGCCAUAAUGUGAUUUGAUGUAUAUAUAAUUUUAAUGUUAUACAUCAACCUGAUAAACCAUAGUGGGUUUAGUGGCAUACCCUGAAUUUGAUCGUAAUCCGAAUUAAAAAUUAUUUCAAGCUAAUGGAGUAGCUAAAUUGGUUCUUUUUCUUUUCUUUUGUCUUUAAAAACAAACCUGAACAGACAUUUCCAGUUGUCAUUCAAAGAUAGAACCAGACAAGAGCACAUGGGUGUUGUUCCAUUCAAUGUCACUUAACCUAAAAGAGAUGUACUUCAACUUCAUUUCUUGUGGUGGCAACACGUGCGCUGAAGUGUUGGUUGAACUAUAUAAAAAUAUGGGCCAAUACAGUGUUACUUAAUCUGUGUUAGAGUAUAGAGUACUAAAGUUGUUAAUUUGUUAUUAGUCAGUUGCUUAAGUCUGGUAUACAGUUGGUUAAGAGCAGUUACUCUUAUUCAUGUAUAUAAGCAUCAACAGUGUAUUUAUUCAAGCAAGGAAAGAUUAAUAAGUAAUUUCUCAGUAAAAUUCAUUCUCUAACUUGUUCUCUUAAAAUACUAUAGUACCUAGUACCUAAUAUGGUAUCAGUCGCUUAGUCCUGGUAUGUGCUUCCGUUUCCGCAUUAUGGCACCAUCAGCCGAUUCUACCUCUGCUGAUCACAUGAGUCCAUCAUUUUCCAGCGUACGUCUAAUUCAAUCAUUUCCUCGCCAUGACACGGUGAAACUAGAGGAAGGAAAUUUUGUCCAAUGGCAACAACAUAUUCGAUUGAUAAUAGAGGGAUAUGAGCUGCAAGGAUUCUUGGAGGGCACGUUGUCUGCUUUGCCUAGGUUCAUCACGUCUCCAGAAGGUGCUCUCACUCCAAAUCCAUAUGCGUCUGCGUUUAAUUAACAAGAUAAGUUGUUAGCCUCUCGGCUCCUCUCUACAAUUAGUUCAUCUCUUUUAUCAUGCUUUACAUUUGCUAAAUCUGCAUGUGAAAUAUGGAGCACAGCGAAUCGUCUUUUCGUUGCUUCAACUAGUGCGAAAAUCUCCCAUUUUAAACAUGACCUGCACUCUACAAAGAAAGGGUGAUUUAACCGUAAAAGAAUAUAUUGCAAAAAUAGAAAAUAUUUGUGGGUUACUAGCAACUUCUGGAUCGGCAGUUUUAGAAGCCGAAAAGGUGAAAGUUCUUUUGGCUGGCUUCUCGUCGGAUUUUGACGCAGUGUUGACCUUGGCUUCAUUCUCGACGGAGCCUCUUCCCUUCCAACGAUUAGUCGAUGUCCUCAUGGAGUUUGAAAGUCGACAGAUGCGAGCGACACGUGAGGUUCCAAUGCAUGCCCAUCUAGUUGAAACACCUUUGGUUGUUGUGGUGGUCGACUCAGUUUCGCGUGAUGUGUGUGGCGGCCGUUCUAUGGUAGGUUCGCGUAGGCAUGGAUUUCGACCACUAACGCAGUGUCAAAUAUGUGGCCGAUUCGGUCAUUUGGCAUAGCGCUGCUUCUAUCGUUUCAACCGCAACUACGGUGGCCUAAACGCUUCCACCACGGUGCGAUUUUCUUCUGUACAUGAUGGAUAAAGGAUACAAAGUGAUGACUUCUCUGGUCGUUCUGGUUUUAUUGGUGGUUUUAAAUCUAGUGGUAAUUUUUAGGGAGGCUGGCCGCACUUUCAAAAUCGUGGCUAUUAUCUACCGUAAGCUAGGGCUAUUCCUUUUUACUAUUCUUACCCUAAUGAAAUUGGUCAUAGAAUUGGGCUUGCUAGUGGAUCGAUAAUGCUUGGUCUGGGUCUGCUGGUGGCCCACCUGGUGUUUAUGGUCCAUAUGUUAGACCAUCCAUAGGACGUGACAUGCUAUGUGAUGUGAGGCGUGAGCUGGGGCGUGAUUUGGGCCAGCGCCGUGUUGGGCCAUCUGCUGUGGUGCACAGGCCGAGUCAUGCAGGCCAGUCCCUUGGGCAAAAUAGUGGGCAGUACUUUGUGCCGAAUGCAGGUUAGUCUCUUGGGCCAGCUAGUGGAUAGAAUAGUGGGCAGUAUUUUGGGCCGAAUGCAGGCCAGUCUCUUGGGCCUGCUACUAGACAGAAUAAUGGGUCGAAUAGUGGGCGGGCCAAUCCUAGCCAAAAUUUUAGACUCAGUUCACUUGGGCCUAAUGCUAAUUAUGUUGAUCUUCAAGGCUGUAUGUAAAAUAAUGCUCUUGAAGUUUUGUGGCGGACUAAACCACGAGCACGUGUAUUUGAUUUUGACUCCUCACAGUGUGUUGGGCUACCCCGAAUCCCUAAUUUUCAUGCGUCUGAUUUUUCAGAUGCCACACAGUAUGAUUCCAACUUUGACAAUACUAACUCAUAUGUACAUGUGCCAGUAGGAACCUCAUCAUGGUAUCCAGAUUCAGGGGUCACUCAUCAUGUCUGUCAGAAUGCUUCUGGUUUAAAUGCCUCCACUCUAUAUAUAGGUACUUUUUUUCUUUUCAUGGGAAAUGGGGCUCCCACUAAAAUUUUGUCUAUUGGGAAUAUUGUUCUACCAAUAAAGAAGAAGUUAUUACAUCUUUCUAAUGUUCGGUGCGUGCCAAGCAUCCAAAAAAAUCUUAUGUCUGUCUCUCAAUUUGCUAUUGACAACAAUGUAUUUUUUGAAUUUCACCCCUAUUAUUGUGUUAUUAAGGACAUCCAAACACAGGAAAUUUUACUGCAAGGCCAAGUUCGUGAUGGUCUCUAUCAAUUUUCGGUCAGUUCGUCUAUCUCUUCUGAUACAAUUCCCUCUAUUAACAACAUCGGGAUCCAAGAUUGUCAUUUGGAUGAUGAUGUCUUUACACUGUGGCAUAAAAGACUUGGUCACCCUGCUCCUGUAAUUGUUAAACUUGUGCUUGACAAGUGUCGAAUGUUUCUAAUAAAAAAUGUCUUGAUAGUGUUUGUAUUGCCUGUCAGAAAGGGAAAUCACAUAAAUUGCCCUUUUCACACUCUACUACUAAAUAUAUGGAAUUGUUUGAAUUGGUUUUUUUCUGAUUUGUGGAGAUCAACUUCUGUUGACUGUAGGGGUAAUCUAUAUUAUGUUUCAUUUAUUGACAUAUGUAGUCGGUUUACCUGGGUUUAACUGAUUAAACGUAAAUCUCAAGCAGUUGAAUGUUUUCUUCAGUUUCAGAAGAUGGUCAGCACUCAGUUUGGGAAGACUAUUAAGAAAUUUCAAAGUGAUUGGGCGGUGAGUUUCAUGCCUUUGCCUCAGUUCUAGCUAGCCAUGGGAUUCUUCAUCAUCUUUCCUGCCCCCAUACUUCAGAACAAAAUGGUGUUGAUGAGCGCAAACACAGACACAUUAUGGAGACCGAUCUUACACUUUUGGCCCAGGCUAAUCUGUCUAUGGAUUAUUGGGGUUAUGCAUUCUGCAGCACUGUGCAUCUUAUUAAUCGACUACCCACUUCGGUUCUAAAAGGUCAGUCUCCGUAUCAGAUUCUUUAUGGGCGUGAACCUACGUAUGAUCACCUCAGGGUAUUUGGUUGUUGUUGUUUUCGGUAUUUACGUCCUUUUGUGCAACAUAAGCUGGAUUUUUUCUCACAACCAUGUACAUUUUUAGGGUAUAGCUCUCAACAUAAGGACUAUCACUGUCUAACACCAGAUGGUAAGGUGAUUAUCUCCCAUCAUGUUAAUUUUUAUAAGCGUCGAUUCUUGUUCCUCUUGUCAGUUGUGGAAAAAGUUCAGAUGCCUACAUCUAUUACAACGUAUAUCCCUAUCAUUCAGUCCCCCUCUUCUUAACCUACUGCAGAAACUAGCAAAACCACUAUGUCUUUGCCUACGGUACCUUUGUCUGAUCAAAUUUGUGAUCCUGUACAGUCUGGUACAGUUGCCUCACCAGCUUCAUCUAGUCCGCUACAGACCAUCUCGAUUGAUUUGUCGGCUGAAUCCGGGUCUAAUCUAAGGGAGAAUCAUCCAUCUACUGAAUCUAUUCAGUUAUCCACUGAGUCCUUAACUAUUCCUCAUGUUUCUUCAGGAAACACUUAUGCUAUGGUUACUUGGUCUAAGGUCAGAAUUUGUAAACCCAAGGUUUUGACAGUAAAAGAUGUAGAUUUUGAGCCAUGCUUUAUUGAUGAAGCUCUUACUCAUAAGGAGUGGAAGCUAGCGUUUCAAGCUGAAUUUGAUGCUUUAAUAGCUAAUUCUACCUGGAAACUUUUUCCUCUACAUCCUAGUCGAAAAGCGAUUAGCUACAAAUGGCUUUUCAAAGUCAAGAAGAAUCCUGAUGGGUUCGUUAAUAGACGAAAGGCACUAUUGGUAGCAAAAGGUUGUUCAUAGGUACCUAGGUGUGACUGCAAAGAAACAUUUAGCCCGGUAGUCAAACCUGCUACUAUCCGAACCAUUUUAUCUGUUGUUGUAUCCAAUGGUUGGCAACUUCGUCAAGUUGGUGUAAAUAAUGCCUUUUUAAAUGGAGACCUAACUGAUGAAGUCUUCAUGUAGUAACCUCUAGGCUAUGUUCAAUAUGGACUAAAUGGUGAGCCAUUGGUGUGUUGUCUAACGAAGGCUUUGUACGGAUUACGGCAAGCUUCCCGUGCAUGGUUUGAAAAAUUGAAGCAGUUCCUUGUCUGUACUGGUUUUGUUCUAUCCAAAUUCGAUGCUUUCUUGUUUGUUAAAGUUUCAACCAAGACCAUUGUCUAUGUCUUGGUCUAUGUGGAUGAUAUUAUUAUUACUGGAAGUUCGACUGACGAAAUAAACUAUUUUGUUCAGCAGCUACAUAACGAAUUUUCUCUAAAGGAUAUGGGCGAUCUCCAUUAUUUUUUAGGGAUUGAAGUCAGUAGGUCAUCCAAUGGCAGUCUACACUUGUGCCAGCGCAAAUACAUUCAGGAUCUUCUUGAUAGGAGCUCUCUGGCUAAUGCAAAAAGUGGCCAUAUGCCGAUGGUUAGUUCAUCAACUUUUUCUAAAGAUGAGGAUGAUCGGCUUGCUGAUCCUACUGAAUACAGAAGUCUCACUGGUGCUCUUCAAUAUGUGGUUUUAACUCGGUCGGAUAUUACUUAUGCUGUAAAUCAUGUGUGUCAAUUCAUGCAUGCACCUACUACGGUUCAUCUGAUAGCGUUAAAACGUAUCCUGAGGUAUUUACAUGACACUAUUAUGCAUGGGCUGGUUUUAAGACGCUCUGACAGGCUAUCUUUGGUUGGUUAUGCUGAUGCCAACUAGAGUCUUGAUUUUGAUGAUCAUCGUUCUACUACGGGCUACUGUGUCAACUUUGGUCAUACACCUGUCUCGUGGUGUUCUAAGAAACAACAAGUUGUUUCUUGACCCACAGUAGAGGCGGAAUAUCGAAGUUUAGCUACGGCUUCAAGUGAUAUCACUCGGUUAGUUUCUCUGUUAACGGAAUUACGAAUCAGUUUUGAUGAUCCUCCUACAGUUUGGUGUGAUAAUUCCAAUGUAGUAGCUGUUGCAACUAAUUGGUGUUACACUCCAAAUUCAAACAUGUCGAACUUGACUUAUUUUUUGUCUGCAAAAAGGUGGCUAAUGGAUCCCUCAUUGUCGAUGAAGCGCCAGCCUGCAACCAGGUUGCAUAUAUUCUCACUAAACCACUGUCUGUCUCCAUUUUUGCUCGCUUUUGAAAUUUACUUCGAGUCUUACCUGUUAAGGAAGCUGGGUGAAGGUUAGAGUAUAGAGACUGUUAGUAUAAAGUUGUAAUUUGUUACUAGUCAGUUGCUUAAGUCUGGUAUACAGUUAGUUAAAAGUAGUUACUCUUAUCCAUGUAUAUAAGCAUCAACAGUGUAUUCAUUCAAGCAAGGAAAGAUUAAUAAGUAAUUUCUCAAGAAAAUUCAUUCUCUAACUUGUUCUCUUAAAAUACUAUAGUACCUAGCACCUAAUAAUCUGUUUAGUACGAUUGCCCAUUUCUUCCUCAACACCCAACACGAACAUGUGACAAAAACUCACUUAUUUUGAUGUAUUAUUCAAGGGUGUACGAACUUGGCAAUGAAACUUGUCAAUUGUGGGUUAUGCCGUUAUGGUGUACUAUGUCUGAUGCAUUUUUUAAAAGAUAUUUUCUUUGCUGUAUCCUAUUUCUUUUAUGUCUUUCGUUCACACCCUACAAAAGCUAGAUGUUGCACAUUUAGAAUAUCUUUCUUUUUUGAAUAAAAUAAUACAAUGUUUAUACGUGCAUUUCUUUUGUCACUAUUGGCUUGAUUGUAUGCCUCCACUUCAACUUUCGAGAAAAGAUUAUACAAAACAUUUGCCGCACGUAGACAUAUAUAAUUUCGAAUCGAAUUAGUCCAUAUAAUCAGAUUUAAAAAAAAAAAAAACCAAUUAUUUCUUAUAAGACUUAUUAUUGAAAUGCUGAAAUAAUUUUUUAUAUUUAAUUAUUGCUUGUGUCAUGUAAUAAUUAUACUUAACAAAAAAAUCACAGGUUGAUUUCCAUCCAAAUCAUAUUAAUGUGUUGUAACUUCCAACAUACUUGAUUACUUUUUUAAUUGUUUUAAUUAUGCAAAGACUAAAAAUAACGCAAGUGGAUCAACAACCCCAAUAUACCCAAGUUGGCAAUGGUACUUAAUUUUCAUUUGAUGUAGAUAUUGUCUGCUAUUUGUUUCAUUGGUCAAAUCCAACCAAUGCUGGAUAUUGCCUGCCUGGAAAGUUGUUGCUUUACAAAGUGGGUGACUUUUCUAUUCUUAAUUUUAAUGGAAUCCUUCACUUAAGAUAUACUUCAAAUCAUAUGGUGGAAAUAUAAUUAGUCCAACUUUGAUUUGUCAUCCUUUCUAAAAUAAUCUUAUGUUCUUUAUUUGUUCCAUAUUUGCCUAGCACGACCAUUCAUUUAUUCUACGUGAUACCGGUUUAUAAACUGAAUUCAUUAAAUUAAUUGAUUAUCUAUUUAAUUAUUGGUUGAGCACAUGUGCCCACGUUGGAUGGGGUCUCCUAAGCACAAUUACUUGGGCUAUAAAAAGGUUAGCUUCCAUUGAAGGAGAGUCAUUGCAAAACAUUUUCUCAAGUCUAAGCUAUCUUAGCCUCUUCUAUUCUUUGUUAUUCUACACUAAAGAAAGAAAACUUGUAAAUUAUGGCUAACAUAUUGACGGAAAAUCCAGGAUUGAUCAACGGAAGUAAUGGUGUGGAGGAAAUCGAAAUUCCCGAAAUCGACGCCGGUCUUCUAAUGUCAUUAUUAGAGGAAUCGCAGUGUGAGGAGUACUGCAAUGAGGAGCAAGUAAAUAGUCUGAUGGAAUCUCUAGAAGCUGAGAUUAGAAUGGUGAAUGCUGGUUCAUGCAGUAUUGAAGGAGACAUUGGAAGCAACGAUUACCUUGAAUGGAGUGAAAUGGAAAUGGUGCCUUCCUCUCCGAGCGAUGGCAUGAAUUGGUAUGUGGAGGAUCAUGUUGAGGAUAUGUCGAUGGAUGGCUACUUUGUUCAAUUUGGAAAUGAUUUUCCAUUGAAUUGUUACGAAAUUCAGCCAGAAAAUGGCUUUACUUCUCAGUGGCAAGAGACA